rnacentral:lncRNA from 1 species
AUAACCCAAGGAGGGAGUGUAGUUUCUUUUUAACUUCAUGUGGAUGCAGAGGCGUGCAUUCUGUGUCUAGAGGCCUGGACUUUUCCAUGCACCGCAUUACACCAGAAACAAAGCCAGACCAAACCAAACACAUCGUUCAAGGUCUCUGGUGGUUCACCGUGCUGGAGAGGGUGGCUUUUCCAAGACCUUUGCAGACCAUCUUGUCAUCAGCUGUCAUGGUCAAGGUAACUUCCAAGCUGGAACCUAAAAUCCGAAGCCACAGGUACCUCCUUCUAACCACAGUGCUCAUUAUCCUGG